UUGGGAAUCUUGCACAAUGGGGGAAACCCUGAUGCAGCGACGCCGCGUGGAGGAUGAAGGGUCUAGGCUCGUAAACUCCUUUUUCAGGGAAAGACUUAGGACGGUACCCUGAGAAUAAGCUCCGGCUAACUACGUGCCAGCAGCCGCGGUAAGACGUAGGGAGCGAGCGUUGUCCGGAUUUACUGGGCGUAAAGAGCACGUAGGCGGUCUGUUAAGUGAGAAGUGAAAUCUCCAGCGCUCAACGCGGAAA
rnacentral:rRNA from 1 species